rfam:TPA: Bos taurus chromosome 19, whole genome shotgun sequence.
UCCUUAAUGGUCCAAUGGCUAGGAAUCUGCACUCCCAAUGCAGGGGACCAGGGUUCAAUACCUGGUCAGGGAA